AAAGCGAUUCAGCGGGUUACGAUUGACGGAGCGAAGCGACGUCAAAGCGUAUACAAAGUCGAGUCGGUUUAAGGAUACGUUCGUUGGGUAGGGGAGCGUUCUGUAAGCCUGCGAAGGUGGCCUGUGAGGGUUGCUGGAGGUAUCAGAAGUGCGAAUGCUGACAUAAGUAACGAUAAAGCGGGUGAAAAGCCCGCUCGCCGGAAGACCAAGGGUUCCUGUCCAACGUUAAUCGGGGCAGGGUGAGUCGACCCCUAAGGCGAGGCCGAAAGGCGUAGUCGAUGGGAAACGGGUUAAUAUUCCCGUACUUGGUGUUACUGCGAAGGGGGGACGGAGAAGGCUAUGUUGGCCGGGCGACGGUUGUCCCGGUUUAAGCGUGUAGGUGUGUGUUCCAGGUAAAUCCGGUUCACUUUAACACUGAGGCGUGACGACGAGGCACUACGGUGCUGAAGCAACAAAUGCCCUGCUUCCAGGAAAAGCCUCUAAGCAUCAGGUAACAUCAAAUCGUACCCCAAACCGACACAGGUGGUCAGGUAGAGAAUACCAAGGCGCUUGAGAGAACUCGGGUGAAGGAACUAGGCAAAAUGGUGCCGUAACUUCGGGAGAAGGCACGCUGACACGUAGGUGAAGUGAUUUACUCAUGGAGCUGAAGUCAGUCGAAGAUACCAGCUGGCUGCAACUGUUUAUUAAAAACACAGCACUGUGCAAACACGAAAGUGGACGUAUACGGUGUGACGCCUGCCCGGUGCCGGAAGGUUAAUUGAUGGGGUCAGCGCAAGCGAAGCUCCUGAUCGAAGCCCCGGUAAACGGCGGCCGUAACUAUAACGGUCCUAAGGUAGCGAAAUUCCUUGUCGGGUAAGUUCCGACCUGCACGAAUGGCGUAAUGAUGGCCAGGCUGUCUCCACCCGAGACUCAGUGAAAUUGAACUCGCUGUGAAGAUGCAGUGUACCCGCGGCAAGACGGAAAGACCCCGUGAACCUUUACUAUAGCUUGACACUGAACAUUGAGCCUUGAUGUGUAGGAUAGGUGGGAGGCUUUGAAGUGUGGACGCCAGUCUGCAUGGAGCCGACCUUGAAAUACCACCCUUUAAUGUUU
rnacentral:rRNA from 1 species